GAUGAACGCUGGCGGCGUGCUUAACACAUGCAAGUCGAGCGAGAAAGUAAUGACUGAUUCUUCGGAUGAAGGAUUUACUGGAAAGCGGCGGACGGGUGAGUAACGCGUAGGUAACCUACCUUACACAAAGGGAUAGCCACUGGAAACGGUGAUUAAUACCAUAUGACGCCUUUAGGUCGCAUGAUCUUAAGGUUAAAGUGUUAGCGGUGUAAGAUGGACCUGCGUCUGAUUAGCUAGUUGGUGAGGUAAUGGCUCACCAAGGCGACGAUCAGUAGCCGGCCUGAGAGGGUGAACGGCCACACUGGAACUGAGACACGGUCCAGACUCCUACGGGAGGCAGCAGUGGGGAAUAUUGCACAAUGGGCGAAAGCCUGAUGCAGCAACGCCGUGUGAGCGAUGAAGGCCUUCGGGUCGUAAAGCUCUGUCUUGAAGGAAGAAAAAAAUGACGGUACUUCGAGAGGAAGCCCCGGCUAACUACG
rnacentral:rRNA from 2 species